rnacentral:rRNA from 1 species
UUCCCUACGGGAGGCAGCAGUAGGGAAUAUUGCACCAUGGGCGAAAGCCUGAUGCAGCAACGCCGCGUGAGUGAAGAAGGCCCUCGGGUCGUAAAACUCUUUUCAAGAGGAAGAGGAAGGACGGUACUCUUGGAAUAAGCCUCGGCUAACUACGUGCCAGCAGCCGCGGUAACACGUAGGAGGCGAGCGUUAUUCGGAUUUACUGGGCGUAAAGCGCGUGUAGGCGGCUUUAUAAGUUGGAUGUGAAAGCUCCCGGCUUAACUGGGAGAGGACGUUCAAAACUAUAGAGCUUGAGUGUGAGAGAGGAAAAUGGAAUUCCGGGUGUAGUGGUGAAAUGCGUAGAUAUCCGGAGGAACACCAGUGGCGAAGGCGAUUUUCUGGCUCGCAACUGACGCUCAGACGCGAAAGCUAGGGUAGCAAACGGGAUUAGAUACCCCGGUAGUC